rnacentral:rRNA from 1 species
GCAGUCUGCAACUCGAGUGCAUGAAGCUGGAAUCGCUAGUAAUCGCGAAUCAGAAUGUCGCGGUGAAUACGUUCCCGGGUCUUGUACACACCGCCCGUCACACCAUGGGAGUCGGGAAUGCCCGAAGCCGGUGACCCAACCUUAAGGAGGGAGCCGUCGAAGGCAGGCCUGGUAACUGGGUGAAGUCGUAACAAGGUACC